rnacentral:tRNA from 1 species
GCGGAAGUGGCUCAGUUGGUAGAGCAUCACCUUGCCAAGGUGAGGGUCGCGGGUUCAAGUCCCGUCUUCCGCUCCA